UUCGUCCUCUACCCAAAAAAAAAAAGAAAAAAAUGCAGAUGUGUAGCAUUUUUAUUUGUCAUUCUGGUUGCAAACCUGCUGCAUGCAAAAUUUACAGUGUUUUUUUUGGCUACAGCAAUUCAGCAAAAUUUACAGCAUAAGGCUGGACAUCGUAACUCCGCUCAAAAAAAAGUUUGCAGUGAAUGUCUUGGAGAUACGAUGCCGGUGGACCCCUUCCCAUAUCCAUCAGAAAAUACGAUCAUGCGCUCGACCGCGGCAGGUCCCCUUCUUUUAGAGCGGCAGCCGAUAUCAGGGGAGCUAGCCUUAGGUGUAUUCCUAAAUCGGUCAAAUGUCACGUCUCCUGUGCAAGAUUUGGGAUAAGCAGGUCAGAAAUGGAAAAUUACUCAUUCUA
rnacentral:lncRNA from 1 species